UUUGUUCUAUGUGAGAGGUCGAUACAAAUUAUCUAGGCUGCACAUUUCACAUUUUUUUCCAUUGGUUAAAAUGUUUCUUGACUGCAUUUUAAAGUGUAUUUUAACUAACUGCUGCAUUAUUUUUGCUUUUUACAGUUUGUGACGGCAUCAUUUUCUGCACUUGAUUUCAACUGUACUGUUAGCCUAGACAGCACAGACUAGAUUCAAAUCUGUUGAAUCUAGCCUGUAAUUGAUAUACUUGAGCACUAAACCAGACAUCUUACACCAAGAAGGGGGGUUCAAUGUGUGCUUUCCUAUUGGCAGAUUAGCUUAAAAGUGUUUAUUUUCACCUGUACCUAAGCCUUGCGUUUGACUGUUGCUGUGCAUGGUGGGUUAGCGGUGCCCUGUAUUAGAUGCAAAUGCCUUGAAACACAAUUUUUUCAGAGACAUCUGUCAGUGGAACCCUCCCAAGCUUCCCUGCUACACUACAGGCAACUCAGCUGCACAUUGAGCAGUGCUGCAACACUUAUCAUCCCUACCCUUCAAUAGAACAAGCCCUUUGUUACUCCUAGAGCAGAAAACUAGUCUAACUAACCCACUUCCUUCCCUAAUAGUACAUACGUUAAAAAAACUGCUAUAAUGGAUGGGCACUUUCCCAUAGUUUCUCCGGCCUAGGCUUACCAUACGUCCGGUUUUCCCCGGACAUGUCCUCUUUUUGUGCUCCUGUCCGGGCGUCCGGCCUGUUUUGUCGUUUUGAGAGAUUUGUCCGGGUUUUACAAUCCCGAGGCAGAAUUCAAUUCUACGUAUGCGCGGAAGGUAGAAGAGCUCGCGAGAGUCGCGAGACUGUGUUUGCGCAGGGAGAAGCGCAGGACUGUGCAUGCGUUAGGGAGGAGGAGGAGGUCUCAGCCACAUAGCCGAUCUGUCAUCACAGAGUGAGUGUGUGUCGGUGUCGGAGUCUCCGUUUUGGUUUUCACUACUCAUUCUGCCUUUUGCCCCACCAAAGAAUCUAUCGUCCUCUUUUUCGUAUAACCAAAUAUGGUAACCCUA